rnacentral:rRNA from 1 species
GAUGAACGCUGGCGGCGUGCCUAAUACAUGCAAGUCGAGCGAACAGAUGAGGCGCUUGCUCCUCUGACGUUAGCGGCGGACGGGUGAGUAACACGUGGAUAACCUACCUAUAAGACUGGGAUCACUUCGGGAAACCGGAGCUAAUACCAGAUAAUAUAUUGAACCGCAUGGUUCAAUAGUGAAAGACGGUUUUGCUGUCUCUUAUAGAUGGAUCCGCGCCGCAUUAGCUGGUUGGUAAGGUAACGGCUUACCAAGGCAACGAUGCGUGACCGACCUGCGAGGGUGAUCGGCCACACUGGAACUUAGACACGGUCCAGACGCCUACGGGAGGCAGCAGUAGGGAAUCUUCCGCAAUGGGCGAAAGCCUGACGGAGCAGCGCCGCGUGAGUGAUGAAGGUCUUCGGAUCGUAAAACUCUGUUAUUAGGGAAGAACAAAUGUGUAAGUAACUAUGCACGUCUUGACGGUACCUAAUCAGAAAGCCACGGCUAACUACGUG